GCCACACCAUGAUCUCCAGCUUGCUGGGGGGAUUAGUGGCGAACGGGUGAGUAACACGUGAGUAACCUGCCCUUGACUCUGGGAUAAGCCUGGGAAACUGGGUCUAAUACCGGAUAUGACCAUUCCGCGCAUGCGGUGGUGGUGGAAAGCUUUUGCGGUUUUGGAUGGACUCGCGGCCUAUCAGCUUGUUGGUGGGGUAAUGGCCUACCAAGGCGACGACGGGUAGCCGGCCUGAGAGGGUGACCGGCCACACUGGGACUGAGACACGGCCCAGACUCCUACGGGAGGCAGCAGUGGGGAAUAUUGCACAAUGGGCGCAAGCCUGAUGCAGCGACGCCGCGUGAGGGAUGACGGCCUUCGGGUUGUAAACCUCUUUCAGUAGGGAAGAAGCGAAAGUGACGGUACCUGCAGAAGAAGCGCCGGCUAACUACGUGCCAGCAGCCGCGGUAAUACGUAGGGCGCAAGCGUUAUCCGGAAUUAUUGGGCGUAAAGAGCUCGUAGGCGGUUUGUCGCGUCUGCUGUGAAAGACCGGGGCUCAACUCCGGUUCUGCAGUGGGUACGGGCAGACUAGAGUGAUGUAGGGGAGACUGGAAUUCCUGGUGUAGCGGUGAAAUGCGCAGAUAUCAGGAGGAACACCGAUGGCGAAGGCAGGUCUCUGGGCAUUAACUGACGCUGAGGAGCGAAAGCAUGGGGAGCGAACAGGAUUAGAUACCCUGGUAGUCCAUGCCGUAAACGUUGGGCACUAGGUGUGGGGGACAUUCCACGUUUUCCGCGCCGUAGCUAACGCAUUAAGUGCCCCGCCUGGGGAGUACGGCCGCAAGGCUAAAACUCAAAGGAAUUGACGGGGGCCCGCACAAGCGGCGGAGCAUGCGGAUUAAUUCGAUGCAACGCGAAGAACCUUACCAAGGCUUGACAUGAACCGGUAACGCCUGGAAACAGGUGCCCCGCUUGCGGUCGGUUUACAGGUGGUGCAUGGUUGUCGUCAGCUCGUGUCGUGAGAUGUUGGGUUAAGUCCCGCAACGAGCGCAACCCUCGUUCUAUGUUGCCAGCGGUUCGGCCGGGGACUCAUAGGAGACUGCCGGGGUCAACUCGGAGGAAGGUGGGGACGACGUCAAAUCAUCAUGCCCCUUAUGUCUUGGGCUUCACGCAUGCUACAAUGGCCGGUACAAAGGGUUGCGAUACUGUGAGGUGGAGCUAAUCCCAAAAAGCCGGUCUCAGUUCGGAUUGGGGUCUGCAACUCGACCACCAUGAAGUCGGUGUAGUUAGUCUUGCUGA
rnacentral:rRNA from 1 species